rnacentral:lncRNA from 1 species
GGCCUGUUUGAGCAGGCAUUGCAAAUCUUAAAAACAAUAAGAUGAAUAAUCAUCACUGUUUGAUCACUGCCAUUUAUUGAGUACCUUCUCCAUGGCAGAUGCUAAGAUAAGACCUAACAUGCAUCAUCUCUGAUUUUACAAGUCUUCGAGGUUGCAGCCAUGAAAAUGCCCUGGUCAGCCAUGAUUGACCAUGACAGGGGUACUAGUGCAGGCCUGUUCCUGCUGGACAUGGAACCCCUCUAAUGGCUUAAGGACUCCCACUGGCUGGCAGAAACUUUCUUAGAACAACACUGUAGUCUAAGACUCUUCCUACUGAAUUCUCUUUCCUUCUCCCUCUCCUUUCAUGGGGGUCAGGCCUGCACUGCAGUCUGGGGCUUCCUCUGCCUACUUCAGUUCCUUCCUGAACAUUUUACAGGUGUUUCCCCCAAUAAUUCUCUUAUAUGCCUAAUCCCAUCUUGGUGCCUGCAUCUCGAAGGAACUAACACAGUGGACAGGAGUCCCAUUUUGCAGACAGACACUGGAUCAAUGAUGAAGUUACUUGUGUAAGUCCUACAGCCAACAAAUGUUAAGAGCUGGGGUUGUGUGCAGGUAUGUUUGAUUCCACAAGCCAAGUCUUAGAAGCAUACUAGGCUUCCUCUCUAAUGAUCUAUGCAGGCUUAACUGUGAGGACAGGGAGUGAUGACACAUUUCAGUUUGGCCCCUUUGUUUUGUCGAUGAGAAACCUGAGACCAGUGAGGGAAAGGAUUCGCCCAUGGGUGCCAGUGGGAGGGGUGCACCUGGGCUGUGCACAGCCAUUUCCCUCCUUUGGAGGCUGAGGGAGGAGGUCACAGGGAGGCCUCAGGGUAUGGAGGGAGGUCAGGCUGGGGGGCUUAGUGUCUGACCCACCAGCCUGGCAGGCGGGAAUGUGCCUGUAGAAGCCCACGGCCCUCUUGGGGAGAAGCCAUGAAGUGAGGACUGAGUGCUGCCUGGAGGUGCUGGCUGGGAUGCACAGGGAAGAGCUGUCAGGGUAUGGGUCUAACACUGGAACAGCUGGGGGACAUUCCCUGGAUAUCCCUGCAUUGCCUUGAGGCUCUCCCAUCCCUGUUUGAUCCGUAAGCUCCAAGGAGACAUGUUUCCCAGCCAUAAUGCCUUCUGAUCCCAAUCUCUUCUACUCUUUUCAUUGGCAAGAGUCAUUCUCACCCGGGUUUUCUUAUAUAAUAAUUAUAAACUCAUUCAGGGCCUGUGAGUGAAAAGGCACACAUAUACAUUCAGGUCUAAUAUUCACUGAGCAACCAUCAGCACAAUGGUAUGUGACCUCUUUGAAUGCUGCACUAAUGCUCCACUGUCUAGAAGGAGGCCAGACUGCUCUGGGGACCAGGUGCAGAGGGUGCCCUCAAGUGUCUAGUGUCAGAGAGAGAGGGGCUACUCCACUUUGGCCAGGGUGAACUUGAGUUGGUGAUGACAAACAUCUGCAGCUAGUCUAUUUUUCUAAUCUCACCCUCCAAACAGCCCCAUCUUCUUGCAGGGAGGAUGGGUGAAGGCAUUUUCAAAAAUGGACAUCACAUGUGACAAACAGGCAAAGGACCCUGACAGAGCCACAAAACUGACACGCUCAUGAAAACUCAGACCGCUGACAAUGGUGAGCGCCGACCAAUUCAGCGCCAGGCGUGGAGGCUUCUGGCAAGAGUGGUGGGCUCUGUGCGUCCUGAUGGUGGCAGCAGAGACCAGCUUGGGAGCCACCUGGCUCCUCUGCCCUAGCCCAUUAUGGCCUGAAUCCAAUCAAUUUCAGUUCUCAGCACUUCUGAAAACGUGCGUGGCUUAGAGUGUCUGGCAGGGCUCAGGAGAGAAAAGCAUUUCUCAGCCCCGGGACACAUAUAUGCCUCCAGGCACUGGUUGUGGCUUGCAAUCUGGGAGGGCAGGUGAACGGACACCCUCCCUCCUUGCACAGGCCUGGGAUCUGCCUUACUCAACUCCCACUUCUACCAGGAGCAGAGGAUCACCGCUGCCCAGCACCCCGCCCAUCUGAAUUCUGACUCUGGUGGCUUCAGAGAAGCAAGGUAGGGGCCAGUGCUGGUAUGAAAUGCCAGAUGAGAGGAAACUGAUGCAUGCACUUUACUCCUGACUCAGAGUGCCUGAAAUAUCUGGCAAACUGGCAAAGGAUGAAACCCUUCUUUGAGGUCUGUAGAGUAGCUUUAAGAUAAAUGAAGCCACUGAGAAGGUCCAAAACAAGGGGCCCUUAGACGUGGAAGAGGUCUGCUUUCCUGAUAACUAGAGUGGUGCUGGGCUAUGAAAACAGUCCAAAUAGAUGAGGAUAGUUCCUGAGAGCACAGGGUUCUGAAGCUGGACAAAUAUUCUUCCACCUUAAUGGCCCUCUCACUGGAGCCUUCACAGGGUUAACGAUGGUCCCGCAGGAGUUGGGGCCAUGACUGAGGACAUGGAGCUGAUGUGGAGGCAGUCAGGGCCAAGGCAAGAGCCUCCUUGUGUAUAGUGGAAACGCAAGACAGACAUCAAAGGGAGUGGGGUGUGCGGUUCCCAAGGGGCUACCAGAGUCCACUUUUAUUAAAAGUUUGUGUCUUUCUUUAGAAAGUAAUAUGUUCCAUCUCCAGCACCUGAAGGCUCCUUUCAGGGUGCCAGAAGAAUCCUCAAGGGACAGUCCCAGGCUGUGUCCUUCCUCCUGUCUUGGCUGACAUUUUUAUGCAUGGUUUAGGCAGCCCAUGGGCUUUCCAGCUUUGCAAUAAGAUCUGAUCUAAUUUCAAGCUUAUACAUAACAGAAGGGCUGGGGGAGAAGUAGGAGUUCUUUUAGAAUUGCAAAAUCCAGGUGGGUGUAGCCUGUGGGGUGCAGGCUAUCCAGCUCAAAGAGGGAGGCCCAUAUCUCAGAUUCCCUAAUGCUCGGCACAGUGUCUGGCACACAAUGGGCACACAGGAAAUCCUGCACUGAAUCAAACAGAUUUUGUAUUACCAGAUCUAGGCUGACUCACUGUGUGGUCAGGACCUUGGGUCAAUCACUUCACCUGGUGACUCACUCCCUACCUGUAAGGUGUGGAGGACAGCUGGAGUCACUGUGGCACCUGUGUGUUUAGCAGUGUGUUUGCUUGUUCCUGCUUUUAUGUCUCUGGCUGGUCUAAGAUGGAAUGAUAAAAAAAUAACGGAAUGCACUUUGUAAACGAGAGCAUCCUAGACACAUGUAAAGAUUGGAAAAUUAGAAAGCUGUCUCUACUGUAGUUACUUCUCAGAUAUGACCAACCAUUAUUAAGAAUUCAUUGGCUAAUAGGGCUACAUUUUCUCAUGAUCAUUCUUCUGUUUUAGAAGUGGGCAACUGCAGUUUUAAGAAUAAAUGUGUAAAUGUGUGUUUUCAUGAGAGACAAUAAAGCUGUUUUCAUUAAGAAUGAAAUAUGCAACUUGCAAACACUUUUACUUUUCUUGAAUUGGGUCCUUCAGCAGAAGCAGUUUGCCCAGCCCUGACAUGGAAAGUUUACUUUGCUCAUCAACCUGAAGGAGACCGAAAGCUAUGAGAGGCGGCUCCUGAAAAGAAUCUAGACUCCGGAUAUAAAAAGAUCUUGCAACACAAGGCCAAGUGGAAAUCAUGGUUCGCAUUAAAGGCAUAAACCUCCUGCACUAACAACCCAGAGCAGGAGGAAAAGCUGGGAGACCUGGCUCAGCAGCCUUCCCUGAGGGAAGCCUUCGGGGCUUUGUUCCUCUUGAGAUCAGGGCAAGCCUAUGUAUGACCUGAAGCCAAUACAACCAGCAGAGCUGAUGCCAGUGCUGGCUGCCUGAGUGCUACUAAAGAAAGAGUCCACCAUCGGCUCCCUCUUCCGUAGCCAGACACAGGUGGAAUGCUGUGCUUCCUUUUGGGAGACAAAGCAGAAGCUACCCCAGAGGGGGCAGAUGGGAGACAGGCCCAGGCAAUGCAGCCCUACAAAGAAGACUUGAAGGGCCGGGGCUGAGCAGCUUGGAUGAAGAGAAGGCUGCCUUUCAGAGCUGUUUCAAAUGUUUCAGACGUUGCUAGACAAACUAGAGUUGUAUGGCUUCAGAUGGCACAGCUUAGGGCCAUAGAGUGGGAAUCACAAGAAGGCAAACUUUAGGCCCCCAGGAGAGCUGGACAACAACCUGGAGGGUCAGAGGAGAAUGGGCUGUCCAAGGAGCGGGGAUAUGAGGGUGGGGCAGUGUGGCCAUCCCUGGAAGGGGUAAGGGAGUGGCAGAUGGUAACCAUUUGGGGUGGGGUGUGGCUGAGGAUUCCUGCAAGGCUAUCAGAGAAACUCUAAGAAUCAUAAGAAUCAAAGCUCAAGUACAUGAGGGAAGACAUAAUGAAAUCCCUAAAGUUCUGAGAGGUUGUACCAGAUUCUUUAUGGAGAAUACAGAGAGAAUGCCUCCUGACUCCUCAUUCACAGAGUGCCAGGCAGCAGCAAGGAGAAGCUGGUGGCCUUGGGAGGGCAAAAACUAAGGACAAGGUCCACAAUGCAAUCAGCUCACAUCACCUACGAACAAAUAAAGUGGGGUGGGGGUGGAGAGUUGCUAGAGUUUACGUAACUCUCAAGCCUUAAUUUAGCUGCAAGAACUAGGUUUUUGCCAAAGCUAUAGAACUUCCCACCAGAUGAAAGCUUUAUCUCUUUUUCUUUCUUAGGAGAAGAGAGACAGAAGGAGAGAAGAGGGGCAGGAGGAGAGAAAACACAAGAAAGAGGAUGGAAGAUAAAGAGGAAGGCCAGAGUGAGGCAGGAGAAAGCUGAGCUGGAACCUAACUCCUGUUGAUCUGCUGCAGAGACCCUCUCAUUCCACAAUUGCUCCCGCCAUGGUAAGCUCCAUUCCUAAUUACCUAGGCAAACUGGCCUGCAUUUCUCUCCAGAGUUCUAAAGGAUGGUGUGAGAGUGUCUGCCAAGAUUUGGAUUUUACAGAGACAAGUCUCAGCUUUUGCUUUCUGGUUCAAGGUUUAUGCUUUUGGAAGGCUGUGAUGACAGCAGCAGGAAAUAGGACAAAUAGGAGUUUUUGUUAGGGGGGCAGCUAAUAGAACAGCCUCAUGAAGGACCUAGGCACACCCUAGAGAUGCAAGGGACAGGCCUGCAGUGGUGGCUCCUAUAAACCCAGUGCACUGAAUCCCCAGAGCUUGCAGCCCAUGGCUUGGGGUCUGGUCCAGUGCACUCGUCAGAGAGCAUAACAGGACCUUUGGGACUCCUAGGGAACCUCUUGGAGAGUCCUGGGACCUGCCUAAAGUACCUGACUUGAGCACACCAGCAUCUGUGUACCCUUAGCUUCAAAUUCUCCAAAGCCAGAAAAGGAAAAAGACACAAUGUCCUGGCCUGAUCAUGCCUGAGAAUCACUUACCUAAAAAGAACAUUGGGGCUUUUGACCUGACAUCCUCCCAGGCAUGCUGACAUCUCUCAGCACUUUCUCUCCCCUCACAAAAGAACUUGUUGAGGAGGAAGGAGAAGAGGCAGCGGCUAGUGGUUAGCAGAGACAGUGGCCAAGUGUCCAGGAAGAGGGGAUGGGCAGGCCUACCUGAGGAAGGGCUGAUGUCUAAGGAGGGGGUCUGCUCCCUCUGGCACACAGCCUGCCUGCUCCUGAGACCCUGUGGCUUCUCCUGGAGCACUGUGCAAAGCUGCUUGGUAUUCUCACUUGGUUCUGUUGGAUGGCUGCAAAGCUGUCUGGCCCUGCUCUCCUCAGUUGCCAAAGGUUCACUGCCGGCUCCAGUUUGCCUGGAACGAAACAGCUCAGGCAACACAGCUGUGCAUCCUUGUGAGACUGCCUAAUUUCCCAUUUCAAGGCAGGAUGCCAUACCCCAAGGUGUAAUUUGAGUUUUGGGCAUAAGCUGAAUUUUGCAACUGAAUUCUGAAACUCAGCCCUCCAGGCUGUGCGUGCUUGGGAAUUAAAAAGCUUUCUUCUCCUUUUCCCUCCUCCACUAUCUACCACCCUCCCCAAUAUCAAUACUGAUACCAUCAUUAAUGUUAAAUUUCUAUUUAUUGAGUGUCUACUAUGUGCUAGGCACUUGUAUGGCUGCACCUGACAGCAAUGGCUUACCUUAAGCCUAUCCUGAGAAUGACACUAUGGUCUAAGAAGAAUGUGUGCUUGGAAUUCCAAGCUAAGAAAUCUGGAAGUGGCCGAUCUGGAGAUUCAUUCCUUACUUAUGGGAAACAUCUAAACCUCUGGCCCAUUUCAUGGAAUGCAGGCUGUACAGGGGACUGAAGCCCUUUGUUUUGGGUUAAAUGAAAGUUGACAGGUGGAGGUUGUUAGGGGGAGGGCGCUAAGUGAAAAUGCUAUAUCAACUGCAUGCUUUUUACCAGCAGAUGCAGUUCUAUCCAGCUCAUCACCACUGGACUCCUCUGUAUGUGAGUCCCCUCAAUAAACCUGAUGUCUCAUUUGCUGGCUGCAGGUCUCUUUUUCAGCCUGUUGAACAUGGUACCAUCACUACUGAAGUCAACAAGGGUCCAGCAUGACAACACUGUACUAAUCAAUUUCCCUGUAUCAUCUUAAUCUUCACAAAACCCUAUGAGGUAGAAAAGGACAAAUCUUAACCCAUGUCCUAUGUGAUUAUAAGGGUACUCACCCUCCACCUUUUAAUUAUUCUCUUUUGGGCUACAAAUCUGUGGAUCUGCAUACCUGAAUGAUUCACUGUGGCUUUCUGGUAGAAAAACUAAUAACACCAUUUGUCCAUGUCAAGCCAAGGAGACAAGCUCAACAUACAAAGAACAAGGAGAGAACAAUGGAAGAUGGCCUAUAAUUCAGAAGCACAUUGGGUGGAGCAUAUUGCACAUGUAGAAGCUUGUCACGGAACCCAAGAAAGCUGGAGGAACCUGGGAAGGCUUCCUGGAAGAAGGGAAAGCUGAGUUCUCUUAUCACCACUCCACCAUUUGUUCAUGUCCUCAUGUACAUAUUCAACAAACAUUUAUUGAGGGCUGAGUGUGGCUUUGUGUAUCCCAGAUAAACUAGUAUCCUGAUCUUAGCCAUGGAUCUCAGCUGCUACUAUCUCAUUCCCCACCAUGGGCAAUAAGAUGCAUACUGGUAGGGAAAAUUCUGGCAAAUUUUGUAAAGUUUAUCCAUAGGCAUAAACACUUUACCCUGUGUUAUGCUCAGAAGAGGAACACACAUUUAUUAAGCACCUACCACAUCUGCAAAUAACUUUACUCCCAAAAACUGAUUUGAUACUUAAGCAGCUUUUGUAAGGUGUGUUUCAUUCCCUAAAACUAAAGUUCAGAGAGGUUAAAAGAUUUAUCCAAGGUCACACAUUCAAGGUGGAGCCAAGAUGCACAACUAAGUCUAUUACUGUUUUUUUCAUACUCCCCCACUUCUCUGUCUCCCUCUUUCUAUUCUCAGCUGCAGACUCUGCCAGCUGCAAACUUCUUUAGUAGUUAUUCCUGAUUACUUCUGCUCCUGGUGAGCUCAUCACCUGAUUAAAGGGCUCCUAGCUUCACCAGACCUUGGAGAUGACAAACAGAUGACCCUGGAGAGGCAGGCUCUCUAGGGCUGUUCCAUUUUGGUCUGGCCCCCAUUCCAGCCGGGGAUAUAGUUCAAACCCUGACUCUGAGUUGAGCCCAAGAAAAUAAGACCAAGAUGAAAGCUUAAGUGCAUCCCCUGAAAGGCUCUUAUCUCCAGGCUAAGCUUGGAAGUGGGGAGACAGAGCACCACAACCCAACUUGGGGAUGUUGUCUCUUGUAGAAACACCUUCCUCAGUAACAGAAGGGUAGCUGCCCCUAUGUCCUAGAGAGCGGGAGUAAGAGAAAGUGGCUCCUUGCCUCUGAGAUUUGCUUAGCUGAUCCUCCCUCACCCCAACCAUAGCUCUUAACAAACCCAGGUACGCAUAAAUAUAAAUACCACCCUAUGUGUAUUUCCUGUGCCCUCCCUUUUCUCUUUCCUGAGGAGUUAUGGAGAGAAAAUAAAUGCCAGAAUUACAGAAAACUAGGUAUAAAUCUACUCACUAGCUUUAUGGCCUUGCAUCUAUUUCCCAUAUAAGCUGGCAGGGUUGGGAUUCUGUCUAGCUCUUUCCAUUUAUCAUGAUGUCCUCUUUUUGGUUCUUUUAGAUUUUGCAUCGGGUUGAUGUAGUGGAUGCUGUAGUCCACUACCCAGAUUCCUUCCCCAACCCACAACAAUGAGGUUCUCAUUCCGGAGCUGCUAGGAGGGAUGCCAGAUAAUAGCACACAGCUGAACUUCUCUUCAGCUAUUGCCCUCAGAUUAAGAAAGCUGCCUUGCUCAAGGUUACACGCCUUUCCUGGGAAACCAGUAUCCAAUGACUGGUUCCUGUAAAAGGAAUGGAGCUGCCUUAAAAGAGCUGCCUUGCUUCAAUUUGGGAAGACUAUGAAGAGCCAUCCCAGCUCUGGAGUUCUCCGUAGGGUUGGGUUUUUGAGACUAUGCAGAAGUUAUUCCAUGAGUUCCAAGCCCAGGUCAUGAAAGAUAACUUGUAAUAAAUCUGGCUACCCUGAAGCUGCCAUGCUUGAGAGACCACACGAGAUGGAGAGAGAUGCUUAGGAGUCCCAGCUGUCCAAGCCUCCAGCUAUGUGAAUCUUCCCAGCAGCAACUGCCAGACAUGUGGUACACCCAAAAUGACUUUGGGGCUACACUUGGAAUUGGCAAGGUUCCAGAAAACAGAGGGACUAUCAUCAGAGACAGCGCACAAAAAGUGGGAGAAAGGUCACCAGCCUCACUCAUGGGCUAUUAUGAAUAAAGCUGCUAUGAACACUUGUUUACAAGUUCUUUGUGAGGACACAUGUUUUCAUUUAUCUUGGGAAAAUACCUAGAGAUGGAACUCUGGGACACAUGGUAAUAAAGUAUAUUGGCAUAAUGCAAGAGUCAAGAUGCAGAAAAUAACUACUGUGUGAUGUCUCUCUCCCAGCUUUAACCCGCCUGAAGGGCAGCACUGAGUUCAACACACUGUCCCACAAUUGUUGCACUCUCACACUGAAGUGAACAGAUUCUUUCUCCGUGCCGUGCAGCUCCCGGCAGAGGAUGAGGGAAGGGUACCAUCGGUGAUUCAGCACUGUGUUUCCUAUCCUCUUCAAUGACUCUUUCAGCGAUAUGAAGGUAAAACCAGGUACUGUGAGUGCUCAUCUUAUUUUUGGUUCUUUUGAAGGUGUUUUUUGGUGUAGAUAGUUAUUAAAUUUGGUGUUCCCGCAUGGGGGAACAAUUGAUAGAGCCUUCUAUUUGAUCAUUUUGCUCUGCUCAUUCUAUAUACCACAUUUUCUUUAUCAAAUCUUAUUUAAUUUUGAUUCCAUAAUUUACUAAAGACUAAAUGUGAUAUGCUAAGUUUUUCACAACAAUUAUAUUUUAUCCCACUUUUUUGUCUUCAAAUAGCUUUUGCUUUUGUAUUUCUGUGCUAUGUUAUAGUACAUUACACAUUCAUUGUGGAUUGCAACUUUUAUAAAACAAUCCUCUAUCCAAAGCAUUUUCCUCUGGAGUUUUAUUUUAACCAAUAUUAAUAGUGCCACUACUACCUUGUUCUGACUUUUGCUUUUUUUGAUUUAAAAAUAUAUUUGUUUUAUUUUUGUCUGAUUUUUCUCUAUCUUUAUUUGUAAAUCUUUUGUGUCAUUUGAGUUAGGUGAAUGGAGCACAUGGCUAUGCUUUGUUUUAAAUGAAAGUCUUUGUCAUCCAGCGGAGGACUUUAAUUCAUUUACAUUUAUUGACAUAAAUGUUGGUAGGUCUUAUUUCUCUCAUCUUGCUUUACAAUUUCUAUUUUACUGCUUGUAUUGCUUUUAUUUUGAUGCUUCCUUAUUUCUUCAUCUUUAAAGUAUAUGUACUGCUAUUUUCCUACCAUAAUUACAUUUCUCUAAUUACAAAUAUGAAACUCUGAAUCUCUUCCUUACCAAUCCUAUGUAAAAUAAGAAAUUUAUCAAGCUGGUGGGCUUGAUAAAGGGCUUACCCAUUCCUGUUUCUAAACAAACAAUUAUGCUUAUUUAAACAAUCUGUUCCAAACAACUACCAGCAAAAAUGUGAACUGUUCUUCAUUAGUCUACUAAUUGAAUUUUCUAACUAUCCUGAUGCCAGGAACACCAUGUAUCAGUUAUGCCUAAAAUGUCAUUUAAAAAUAAAAUUGCUUGAGGACAAAUCAGAAAUUAGCAUCUUUAACUAUUUAACUAUUUAAUUACUUUAAGGGCUCCUGGUCAUAGUUUCCACAUUCUACUUCCUUCUCUGUUACAGACUUGAAAGCGUGUGUCAGAUCCCUUCACUAUAUCUUCAGACCUGCCCCAAGGAGUGAGGAAGGGCAACACCAAGAACUUCUCUCCAAGGACCAUAACCUGCGAACCCCAUCUCACCUCCUCCUGCCAGAUGGACACAGUCAUUGUCCUCCUGGCUGAUCCCAUGUCCAUGUCUUGCUCUGGCUACUUUCAUACACCCAUAAUGACAUUUUCCAUCUACUCAAUUUUUUAAAAGCUCAGCUCGAACCUCACGGAUUUUCCUGACAAUCUGCUUCUCUCAAUGGCCUUAAUUUAAGUGAGGGUUGUCAGUCUUACUGGGUCUCGUUUUUUGUCUUAAAUAAUAACUAUUUAUGGGUAUCAAGUGUCUCCUCAAUUUGGCUAUGAUCCUUCACGGCAGAAAUACUGUCUUAUCUUGUGAUCAUGGAGUCACAAGAUUUCAUGGCUAGGAAUAUUCGUCAAAUUAAUCCUAGAUUGAGGAUCAGGUAGUAUGUGGUCUGAUUCUAACUCAACAACUUGCAGAAACUCACUUCUUUUUUCUUUUUUUUUCCCCAGGAGGAGCUAUCGUAUUAACUGACGAAACUCACUUCAUUUCUUUGGACCUGCAAAAUGAGGAUGGGCUCUAAACCACCUCUAAAGUUAAUAUUCUAUGAUUCCAUGAUAAGGCUAUUUGUCAUUUAUAAAAAAAGGAACUUCCACAUAGCCCAGAGAAAGGAAAUGACUUUUUCAAGUUUACAGAGUCAAUUAAUGGACGAAAUGUAAUUUGAAAUUCAAUCUCCUGAUCCCCAGUCUAUUGGGAGUUCUUUCAGAAUGUCCCUUGACUGUCCCUCAAAGUGCCAGCAUGUAUGAAACCUUGUUAAGGAUGUAUGCUCAAUGAAAAUACACAAAUUGACUUAACAAGAAACUAAACUCUCCAGAAAGAUGCAGUUGACCCAAAACUCUGAAUAUCUUUUAUGUUUAAAACUUUCUUUUUUGAACAAAAUUGUACAGUUACUUCUCUAUUUCAACUCUUAAGCCUUUUAUGCCACGUCAAAGGUUAGCUCUCUUUUCUCUCUGUUAAUAAAGUCUUAUUCUUGACUUUGGAACUGUAUGCCAA